GGCUCAGGAUGAACGCUGGCGGCGUGCUUAACACAUGCAAGUCGAACGAUGAUCCCCAGCUUGCUGGGGGGAUUAGUGGCGAACGGGUGAGUAACACGUGAGUAACCUGCCCUUAACUCUGGGAUAAGCCUGGGAAACUGGGUCUAAUACCGGAUAUGACUCCUCAUCGCAUGGUGGGGGGUGGAAAGCUUUUGUGGUUUUGGAUGGACUCGCGGCCUAUCAGCUUGUUGGUGAGGUAAUGGCUCACCAAGGCGACGACGGGUAGCCGGCCUGAGAGGGUGACCGGCCACACUGGGACUGAGACACGGCCCAGACUCCUACGGGAGGCAGCAGUGGGGAAUAUUGCACAAUGGGCGCAAGCCUGAUGCAGCGACGCCGCGUGAGGGAUGACGGCCUUCGGGUUGUAAACCUCUUUCAGUAGGGAAGAAGCGAAAGUGAC
rnacentral:rRNA from 1 species